UGGGGUGCUCGAGUGGCGAACGGGUGAGUAACACGUGGGUGAUCCCCCUGACUUUGGGAUAAGCCUGGGAAACUGGGUCUAAUACCGGAUAUGACCAUGGGACAUGUUCUGUGGUGGAAAGCUUUUGCGGUUGGGGAUGGGCCCGCGGCCUAUCAGCUUGGGUGGGGUAAUGGCCUACCAAGGCGACGACGGGUAGCCGACCUGAGAGGGUGAUCGGCCACUGGGACUGAGACACGGCCCAGACUCCUACGGGAGGCAGCAGUGGGGAAUAUUGCAAUGGGCGCAAGCCUGAUGCAGCGACGCCGCGUGAGGGAUGACGGCCUUCGGGUUGUAACUCUUUCAGUAGGGACGAAGCUUCGGUGACGGUACCUGCAGAAGAAGCACCGGCCAACCGUGCCAGCAGCCGCGGUAAUACGUAGGGUGCGAGCGUUGUCCGGAAUUACUGGGCGUAGAGCUCGUAGGCGGUUUGUCGCGUCGUCUGUGAAAUUCUGCAACUCAAUUGCAGGCGCAGGCGAUACGGGCAGACUUGAGUACUACAGGGGAGACUGGAAUUCCUGGUGUAGCGGAAAUGCGCAGAUAUCAGGAGGAACACCGGUGGCGAAGGCGGGUCUCUGGGUAGUAACUCGCUGAGGAGCGAAAGCGUGGGUAGCGAACAGGAUUAGAUACCCUGGUAGUCCACGCCAAACGGUGGGUACUAGGUGUGGGUUCCAUUUCACGGGAUCCGUGCCGUAGCUAACGCA
rnacentral:rRNA from 1 species